GACGAACGCUGGCGGCGUGCUUAACACAUGCAAGUCGAACGGAAAGGCCCUGCUUGCAGGGUACUCGAGUGGCGAACGGGUGAGUAACACGUGGGUGAUCUGCCCUGCACUUCGGGAUAAGCCUGGGAAACUGGGUCUAAUACCGGAUAGGAGCCAUUUUUAGUGUGAUGGUUGGAAAGUUUUUUCGGUGUAGGAUGAGCUCGCGGCCUAUCAGCUUGUUGGUGGGGUAAUGGCCUACCAAGGCGGCGACGGGUAGCCGGCCUGCGAGGGUGGACGGCCACAUUGGGGCUGAGAUACGGCCCAGACGCCUACGGGAGGCAGCAGUGGGGAAUAUUGCACAAUGGGCGCAAGCCUGAUGCAGCGACGCCGCGUGGGGGAUGACGGCCUUCGGGUUGUAAACUCCUUUCGCUAGGGACGAAGCUUUUUGUGACGGUACCUAGAGAAGAAGCACCGGCUAACUACGUG
rnacentral:rRNA from 1 species